GACGAACGCUGGCGGCGGGCCUAACACAUGCAAGUCGAACGGAGAGAGACGAGUUCUUGCUCGUGUAAAUCUUAGUGGCAAACGGGUUGGUAACGCGUAAACAACCUGCCCAACGGUUAGGGACGACAGACGGCAACGACUCCUAAUACCCAAUGGACUCCGGUUUCGGAUGAAACCGAAAGUAAAGGUGUCCUCUCGAAGAAGCUACGGCUGCAUGGUUGGUGUGCGUUUGAUUUGUUAGGUGGUGGGGUAACGGCCUACCAAGACGAUGAUACAUAGCCGGUCUGAGAGGAUGAACGGCCACACUGGAACUGAGACACGGUCCAGACUCCUAAGGGAGGCAGCAGUGGGGAAUCUUCCGCAAUGGACGAAAGUCUGACGGAGCAACGCCGCGUGAGUGAAGAAGGCCUUCGGGUUGUAAAGCUCUGUUAUUCGGGAAGAAAGAUUAGUUAGUAAAUACUGAACGGAAGUGACGGUACCGACAGAGAAAGCCACGGCUAACUACGUG
rnacentral:rRNA from 1 species